CGCAGCAGAGGCCUCUGAAGUCUUUGGAGCGACCUCGUAGAGCAAAACCUAAUGUUUUGCACGUUGGCGACGGUGAACGCAGGUUCCCCAAACCAAGCAUCAGUAAGGCACCAGCGUAAGGGUGGCUAGGUGAAGGCGCGACGAAGGGUGAGGGUAGCGAGAGCUGCAAUCGAUGACGAAGGCGUGGUUGAUCACAGUGGUGGAUCUGUUCGGAGUCGUCUAGGUGCCAAACCUUGAUCUCGCAAUUCGGCGGCGGCUUCAUAAGACUCUGACGAGGUUUGCAGAGGGGGCUAUGUUCCUCUAAGUCGGUCGGCGACAACCACGGUCUUUAAGAGCAUGUGAGGUUUUCUCAGUCAGCGGCGGAGGUAUCUCGAGCCUCCUUCGAUCGUUUGUUUGAAGUAGGCUUCCAUGUCGGACUCUAGGACCCAGCGAUGGAGGCCACCG
rnacentral:lncRNA from 1 species